rnacentral:rRNA from 1 species
UUCCGGUUGAUCCCGCCGGAGGCUACCGCUAUUGGAGUUCGAUUAAGCCAUGCGAGUCGCGAGUCUUAGGGACUCGGCGUACCGCUCAGUAACACGUGGGUAACCUGCCCUAUGCUGGGGGAUAACCUCGGGAAACUGAGAAUAAUACCCCAUAGUUCACCACGCCUGGAACGGUGGGUGGAUCAAAGCUCCGGCGGCAUAGGAUGGGCCUGCGGCGUAUCAGGUUGUAGGGGGUGUAAUGUACCCUCUAGCCCUCUACGCGUACGGGUGUUGAGAGACAUCGCCCGGAGAUGGAUUCUGAGACACGAAUCCAGACCCCACGGGGUGCAGCAGGCGCGAAAACUUGGCAAUGCGAGAAAUCGUGACCAGGGAACUCCAAGUGCAUCGGGUAAGACCGAUGCUUUUCUUGACUCUUCAAAGGUCUUGGAAUAAGGGGUGGGUAAGGACGGUGCCAGCCGCCGCGGUAAUACCGGCGCCCCAAGUGGUAGUCGCUUUUAUUGGGCCUAAAACGUCCGUAGCCGGUCUGGUACAUUCGUGGGUAAAUCAAGGCGCUCAACGUCUUGAAUUCUGCGAGCACGGCCAGACUUGGGACCGGGUGAGGUGUGGGGUACUCUCAGGGUAGGGGUAAAAUCCUGUCAUCCUGAGAGGACCACCUGUUGCGAAGGCGCCACACUAGAACGGAUCCGACGGUCAGGGACGAAGCCUAGGGGCACGAACCGGAUUAGAUACCCGGGUAGUCCUAGGUGUAAACGCUGUGGACUUGAUGUUGGGGGCGCUCCGAGCGCACUCAGUGUCGAAGCGAAGGUGAUAAGUCCACUGCCUGGGGAGUACGGUCGCAAGGCUGAACUUAAAGGAAUUGGCGGGGGAGCACCGCAACCUGAGGAUUGUGCGGUUUAAUUGGAUUCAACGCCGGA